rnacentral:tRNA from 1 species
GGGCCCAUAGCUCAGCUGGUUAGAGCGCACGCCUGAUAAGCGUGAGGUCGGUGGUUCGAGUCCACUUGGGCCCA